rnacentral:rRNA from 1 species
UACGGAGGGCGCAAGCGGUGUUCGGAGGCACCGGGCGUAAAGCGCAUGCAGGCGGCUUGGUAAGUCGGGUGUGAAAUCCCGGAGCUCAACUCCGGCACUGCACCCGAUACUGCCUCGCUAGAGUCCCGGAGAGGAUGGCGGAAUUUCCGGUGUAGAGGUGAAAUUCGUAGAUAUCGGAAGGAACACCAGCGGCGAAGGCGGCCAUCUGGACGGUGACUGACGCUCAGACGCGAAAGCGCGGGGAGCAAACAGG